UUAAUUACAAGUGUGCUCCUGGUGGUCUUUAACUGAAGGGCACUGACUGGGUCACCGGUGAAGUUCUCCGCAGGAACUGAGUCAGACCCCAUCUCAGGGCCCUGCACAAAAUAGGUGCCUGCUCUAAGGCGUGGACCCUCGCGACAGCCCUGGCCCGUCUUGACGGGCGACGGUUACUGUACUUGUCCCAACCGUACAGAUGAGAAAGCUGAGACUCAGGGCGAGCAACCCCGGUCCCAGCGGAGCGCCCGGCACGCGCCGACAAUUCAGCACCAGCAGCGGUGGCCACCACUGUGCGCGGAGAUGGCUGCGACGCGUGCGCAGGUGAAAUGGCCACCAGACCCAGGCUUUCUGGAAUGCGUUCAUUUUCUGCAGUUGAAAGGACGAUCCCGAAUCUGAAAAAAGAGUCACAGUGACUCCAAGAGUGGAGCCGGGGCAUGCUGGACACUGCAUAGCUAUGGCCAUGUGUGUCACCUCUGAGGGAGAUGUGAGAGAAACACAGAGGGAUCGCUUGUGACUGUACCUUCUCGAUGUAUGAUGGACUGUUCUGCUCAAAUAGCAGCAGUAGGACUGACUGGAGCCAUUGUACAGUGUCGGGAACACACCAGGACACUGAGAAUAGCGUCAUGUCAUAAAAACUCAGAGCAGAUGGACCCUGCUGUGAUGCACAAAGGUGAGGGUGCAGCUGCUCAGGACACACUCAUGCAUGUUUGUGUGGACCAUGGAAGACGGCAGGGGAAGAGCUGUCAGGUCGUUGGGGCAGAGGGUGCGCAUGAGUACUCGCCUAGGACUAUGCAAGAUAUGAUAAAGAUCUAUGUCACUGAAUUUUUGGUUCUAUAUUUGUAUCUCAGCUUCCUGGAAAUAAAAAAGAAUUCUAACAUUC
rnacentral:lncRNA from 1 species